UGGGGAAUCUUCCGCAAUUUCCGAAAGUCUGAUGGAGCAACGCCGCGUGAGCGAAGAAGGUCUUCGGAUCGUAAAGCUCUGUUGUUAGGGAAGAACAAGUACCGGAGUAACUGCCGGUACCUUGACGGUACCUAACCAAAAAGCCACGGCUAACUACGUGCCAGCAGCCGCGGUAAUACGUAGGUGGCAAGCGUUGUCCGGAAUUAUUGGGCGUAAAGCGCGCGCAGGCGGUCCUUUAAGUCUGAUGUGAAAUCCCCCGGCUCAACCNGGGGAGGGUCAUUGGAAACUGGGGGACUUGAGUGCAGGAGAGGAAAGCGGAAUUCCCUGUGUAGCGGUGAAAUGCGUAGAGAUAUGGAGGAACACCCGUGGCGAAGGCGGCUUUCUGGUCUGUAACUGACGCUGAUGCGCGAAAGCGUGGGGAGCAAACAGGAUUAGAUACCCUGGUAGUCCACGCCCUAAACGAUGANUGCUAANUGUUGGNGGGUUUCCCCCCCUCAGUGCUGCAGCUAACGCAUUAUUCACUCCNCCUGGGGANUACGNUCCCCAGACUGAAACUCAAGGGGNUUUGGCGGGCG
rnacentral:rRNA from 1 species